AUGAUGGUUGAGGAUGGAGGUAGCUGCCAACCUAGUGUGGUGUUCUAUAACAUCAUAGUUUAUGUCCUGUUGAAAGAGGGUGCGAUGGGCAAGGCUUACAACCUAUUUUGUGAAAUGCUACAGACGGGGAUUUCGCCGGAUGUUGUGACCUAUAACUCAAUCAUCUAUGGCAUGUGCAAGGUUCAUGCGAUGGACAUGGCUGAGGAGGUUCUUCAACAGAUGUUUGAUAGAGGUAUUCUUCCAAAUUAUAGAACAUAUAAUAGUCUAAUACAUGGAUAUUAUUCUUUAGGACAGUGCGGAGAGGUGGAUCAGGUUUUGAGGGAAAUGUUUGGAAAUGGUGUUCAACCAAAUGUCGUAACUUACAGUGUACAAACGGAUUAUCUUUGCAAGAGUGGAAGAUGCACAGAAGCUAGGAAGAUUUUUGAUUCUAUGACCGGUUUGGGCCAAAAACCAACUGUUACUAACUACAACAUUUUGCUUCAUGGGUAUGCUAUGGAACGAUCAUUUCAUGAUAUGCAUUGUCUCAUUGAUUUGAUGGUAGAAAAUGGUAUUGUACCACAUCACCAUAUCUACCACAUACUGAUAUUUGCAUGUUCUAAAGAAAAAAUGGUUGAUGAAGCAAUGCAUAUAUUUAAAAAAAUGCGGCAGCAAGGAUUGAACCCUAAUGCAGCGAGCUAUGGAACGGUAAUAAACUUGCUUUGCAACAUUGGCCGAAUGGAUGAUAUGAUGUUACAAUUCAAUCAAAUGAUAACGGAAGGAUUAGCUCCUGAUAUCAUAGUUUUCAACACCCUUUUGAUUGGUUUUUGUUCUUGUGGCAAAUGGGAGAAGGUUUAUGAACUAUUUUCUAAAAUGUUGAAUCCUGGCAUCUAUCCAGUAAUGUGUUCUUCAAGA
rnacentral:rRNA from 1 species